AGUGAGCAUGGAGGUUUGGUUGAAAUUGGUUACGACGACGUCGAGUUGGCGGCGGAGGAAGACUCGGCAUGAAGGCCAGCCGCCCGGUGGUGUGGUACGUAGUGGUAAUAGUACGCGCCCCGCUCCGAAACAAAGAAAAAGGUGCGUGCCGCGCUCACGAGGGACUGCCAGUGAGAUACUGGAGGAAGGUGGGGAUGACGUCAAGUCCGCAUGGCCCUUAUGGGCUGGGCCACACACGUGCUACAAUGGCAAUGACAAUGGGAAGCAAGGCUGUAAGGCGGAGCGAAUCCGGAAAGAUU
rnacentral:ncRNA from 1 species